GCUCCCUUAGCUCAGCAGGAUAGAGCGUCCCCCUCCUAAGGGGAAGGCCACUGGUUCAACUCCAGUAGGGAGCGCCA
rnacentral:tRNA from 1 species